rnacentral:rRNA from 1 species
CCUACGGGAGGCAGCAGUAGGGAAUAUUGCUCAAUGGGGGAAACUCUGAAGCAGCAACGCCGCGUGGAGGAUGAAGGUUUUCGGAUUGUAAACUCCUUUUGUUAGAGAAGAUAAUGACGGUAUCUAACGAAUAAGCAACGUCUAACUCCGUGCCAGCAGCCGCGGUAAUACGGAGGGUGCAAGCGUUACUCGGAAUCACUGGGCGUAAAGGGCGCGUAGGCGGGAUAGCAAGUCAGAUGUGAAAUCCUUUGGCUUAACCAUAAAACUGCAUUUGAAACUGUUAGUCUAGAGUAUGGGAGAGGUAGGUGGAAUUCUUGGUGUAGGGGUGAAAUCCGUAGAGAUCAAGAAGAAUACUCAUUGCGAAGGCGACCUGCUAGAACAUAACUGACGCUGAUGCGCGAAAGCGUGGGGAUCAAACAGGAUUAGAUACCCGUGUAGUC